CAGGUAUGCUUGACAACAUGAACUUUUGGGCUGUGUGGCGACUUUGAUCCCGUUGAUUCGGGGCAUGUGUUGGUUGCCAGUGAAUGAUGGCUCGGUCUGGCAUUGAACCUCACUCCUUCAAGGGAAGUGUGGGGCUCUGAUAUGCUUGACAAGACGAACGGUUGGGUAAUGUGGUGACUCUGUUCCCUUUGAUUUGGGGCGUGCGUUGCUUGGCAGUGAAUGAUGGCGCGAGCUUGCAUUGAACUUCACUCCUUCAAGGGAAGUGUGGGGCUCUAGUAUGCUUGACAUUAUGAACGGUUGGGCAGUGUGGCGACCUUGAUCCCGCUGAUUCGGGGCAUGUGUUGGUUGGCAGUGAAUGAGGGCUCGGUCUGGCAUUGAACCUCAUUCCUUCCAGGGAAGUGUGGGGCCCUGAUAUGCUUGACAAGAUGAACGGUUGGGCAGUGCGGGGACUCUGUUCCCUUUGAAUAGGCGUGGGCUUUUCUUGGCAGUGAAUGAUCGGUCGAUCUCGCAUUCAUCCUCACUCUUGCAAGUGAUUCUGUGGACAAGAGAUGCUUUGCAUUGAACAGUGGCUUGGCCUUGCUUUCAACCCCACACUCAUUCAAGGCCUCAUCACGGCAGAGACAAUCAACUUAAGAAAUGCAUUAACUGUGACAGCAGGAUGAAGAAGGGCAAGGGUACAUCCAGGAUGUCGUCGUGGCUAUGCCUGAAUCAAUCUAUCCUGACAUCGUCAUCGUUGUCAUGUCUAAGCAGUAUCAAAUCAGAGAUGUGGCGGAUGUUGCCUGCUACUCAACGUUCUGAUGUUGGCUGGAAAGUGUUUUGAAGAUUAUCAUCAACCUGGGAUCCAUGCAAGGUAUCGCUGUUGCUGUCGGCCUCCUCUUCUGACACCUUGCUGAGGCUGCUGGCAUUGGCCACUUUUCAAUAUUCUGAAUAAAACAAACCUAAACUCGCCA